UACGUAGGGUGCGAGCGUUGUCCGGAAUUAUUGGGCGUAGAGGGCUCGUAGGCGGUUUGUCGCGUCGGGAGUGAAAACCAGGUGCUUAACACCUGGCUUGCUUUCAAUACGGGCAGACUAGAGGUAUGCAGGGGAGAACGGAAUUCCUGGUGUAGCGGUGAAAUGCGCAGAUAUCAGGAGGAACACCGGUGGCGAAGGCGGUUCUCUGGGCAUGACCUGACGCUGAGGAGCGAAAGUGUGGGGAGCGAACAGG
rnacentral:rRNA from 1 species